rnacentral:lncRNA from 1 species
AUUGGCUAUUUGAUAAAAGAUUGCUACCAGAUAUGAUUUUGAAUAGGAAAAAUAUAAUAAUUUAUUCUACCAUUACAUCUGUACAUGUGGUCACAAAUAAAUAAAUAAAAACAUGGUAAUGUUAAAAAUAAGGGUACUAAUUAUCAAGAAUUUUUGUUUCUUUCAAAGCCUUUCCUGAAACUUUCCGGAAAGAAACAAAUAAAUAAUGUGCACAUGGGAACCCAAGAGUAUAUGGGCCCAUCAUUAUAUUCAUUAUAUAUCUACAAGCAUGAUGCACAUACAUUUGUAGUGAUUCAGUAUUUAAAAUUGUCAGGGUUCUGGCAAAACAAAAAUUGAAGGCAAGGCCUGGGACUCCUUAUUUUUGGCCAUGAUGAGUCUAACAGUAAGAAGAAAAUAUUUUAUUGCAAUAUUAUUUAUUGUUUUAGCCUCUAUGACCAUGAUGACCUUAAAGUGCAAUGAAAUGAGAUUAAAUUCAGAUUACUUUUAAACUUUUACUAUAACAUGAUGUUCAUUUUACACAAAAUAUUUCAAUCUUGAUGCAUCUUUUUACUCACCAGUUUUGAAAAUGGUGAGUUCAGACAGAUUUUUAUGGACAUUUUUUACUCUCCUAAGUGUUUCUAUACCUAAAAUAUAUAAAGAGCUGGUCUGAAAAUAGCAAUGAAUAAUUUAAACAAAUCAAAUAUGUAAUGAUACAUCCCCACCGACAAAUAUCAGUUUUAAAACACAGAUAUGUCUGCUAUAAUCCAAAGAGGAAUAUAUUUUAUUAGUGCAAGGGUAAAUUAGUAAAGAAGAUUUUACUUUUACUUUAUAAGGAAUGUUUUUUUUAUUGAAGGAGGUUUACAAUAUGUUAACCAAAGAGGUAAAACAGUUAUUUAGUCAUGACUGUUGUAGAAAUAUUUAUAUUAGUUUAAUCUUUUUGAAUUAUCAGGUAUAUUUUAUGAUGUCGUCGUAUUUGAUUUGGUAAAUUUAUUUUAAGAAUUUGAAAGUUGAAAAAUAUUUAGCAACCAAUCAAUCAACAUAAAAAUUCACAAAAGGGGCGGAGCUUAUGAGUGAAUUAUGGGUAUUGUUAGAUCAUAAGUUAAAUAUUUUUCUAUGUUUGAAUUUUUGUAUUAUAGAAAGUGAGGGUAAUUAAAUAUAGAGUUAUCUUGAAUUCCAUAAACUUUUUAAUUAUCUAUGAAAAUUUUGUCUUUUUAUCUGUUUAAUGUAAAUCUUCCAAUUAUAUACAGGUUCUGCUAUGGUUUAUCAAAAGAUGUACAUGUACUUUUAGAAAUUUUGGGUCCUCAAUGGUCUUCACCGUCUUACUGUAUCUGACCUAUUUAACAGUUUUUGCUACCAGCAUCAUCAAAUAGUCUUUUUAGACAAAUCAUGCCUAGGGCAUUUAUUUUUUAAUCCUGGUAUCUAUAAUGAGUUAAUUCUCAGUUAUAUUUCAAAGGUUUACAAGAGUUUGUCUUUAAAGUUUGUAGUAAAAGACCUUUAUUUAAGGCUUUUGUGUUUUAUUUUCCAUUUUAUAUGAGAUUUAUAAGAUAUUGCUCACUUUUUUUUGUUCUCACCUUGUUUAUUGAUUUUUAUGGGUGUUUGCUACAUAUGGAAGUGUUUAUUUUCCAAUUUUGUAUGCUGUAGGAUGACUGGUAAUAUAUGUUUUUGUAAAAUGGUUUUUUUUUUUUUUAAAUUUGUAUAAAAAAUCCUUUUCUGUGUUCAAUGAUUUUUUUGUGAAAUUUUAUACAUCUUAUCACUAUUUGGAAAUCUGUCAUGCUUGACCCGAGAAUCUGUCCCUCUUGAACUUUUGACAUCACACAACAAUUGCUUUUCCAUUGUGGCGUCAGGUAUUCUCUAUUAUAAUGUCAAAAAUUUACAGAAACUUUUUUGAGGUCCAGUAAUGGAGGACAAAUAGUGAUAAGGUGUCGGGUGAAACCAAUUGUGUGAAAUCCAAGGGCAAUUAACUCUAAUUGCUAUGUUGUCUGAUAAUAACAAAAACUAUCAUGUUCUUAGUUGUAAAUACAAGUCACAAGUUAGACCAAUCAUAGUGUAUUUUUUUCUUCUUAUUUUACCCUGAUAACUUACUGCCAAGGGCAACAACUCUUUCAAUCAAUAAUACAUUUAUUUAAGUCAAUUUCACUAAAUAUAUGCUUUUAAGGCACUCACAUGAAACAUAUGUAAAAUAAUCUUUGUUAAUAAGAAGCUUUGAAAACAUUAAUGAAUAUGGUAGACAUAAACAUACCUUUGAUUUUUAAGAGUGAUCUCCCCUGCCCUACAUCUUCAAUGCAGACAUUGAUGUUUCAGAUAACAGUGCCUUCCUUUCCUAAUUGCUGAGAAUAUUUUGUAUAUAGAUGGAAUAUAUUGUCAUAUUCACUCACUCAUCAUAUAUUCAUGUUUAAGGUAUUUAUGCAGUUGUAACCUUAUUUUGAAUACAUUGACAUGGCUUGAAAAACAUAGGUAAGAUGAGAGCCGUUUUAUUUCUAGCUCAAAAGAAAAGUUGCCUUGAUAUAUGACAUUUUUUCAGCAAAUUUUCUUGUAUUAAACUUUUAUACUUUAAAGUCAUAUGUUAAUGGUCAAAGAGUAAAAGUUCUAGUGUUUUAUUAUUUUUUUCUAGUUAAAUGUCCUGUACAACUAUGUCUGCAUAACCACAAAUAAGUAUUUUGUUCAUGAAAACAUUCAAAGGAUAUUAUUUAAAAUAUACAUUUACCUUUGAAUUUACCUAUAAAGGGUCAACAACUUGUAAAUGCUUCUUUGAUGUAUGACGACUUUAAUGUAACCGGGCACUUUUUUCGGGAUAUUUAUAUAUAUAUUUAUUAUCCAUCCAUACAACACAUUUAAAUUCAUUAUUCUUAUCCAAUCAUUUGCAUAUCUAGUUCUAUUAGUUUUCAUGUUGUUAUGUUGUCUGAAAUUGAUGUGCUGUACUUAUGUCUUUUAAUGUAGUACCUGCCUGUGUGACGAUAUAGCAAGGUAAGCUAUUGUUUUGGUAUGAGGUAUUGGUUUUAAUUUUUUUUUAAUAGAAAGCAUCAUAGCAUUCACUAUAGCUAUAUAAACUAGCACUAAAUAUGGUAAGUUCAGAAUUAUUGUGUGCAUUUUUUAUUCCGAUUUGUCAAUUAAGACUUAAUUCCAAUUUUAAUUUUUGUGAUGAUAAGAAAAUUCCUGGUCGAUUCAUAUAAAAGAAUUAAAAUAUGAGUUUAAAUUAUUGCGAUAAAUACCCUGUCACAUUUUUUUCUUAAUAAUAAAAACAUCGCAAGUAUUUCUGAAUUUACAGUAUAUCAUUCAUAUGAACUAUAACUAAAUUAGAAUGAGGGCAUUUUUGCUUUUGAUAUUGACUUUUUCAAAAAGAAUUGAAUAUCAAGCAAGCCUGUUGUGAUAAUUGUUCUGUUGUUUGAAUCCAUGCUUUUUAUACUGACUUUUUCAGAAAGAAUUGAAUAUCAAGCAAGCCUGUUGUGAUAAUUGUUUUGUUGUUUGAAUGAGGUUGCAUGCAUUUCAUUGACAGGGAUCUCCAUGGCCUGUUUAACAAUGGCGCCCCGCCAUCGUUCAAAUGUCUUGCGCCAUCGUCAAAUGACUUGCGCCAUCGUUAAAUUGUUUUGCGCCAUCGUUAAAUUGUUUUGCGCCAUCGUUAAAUUGUCUUCCGCCAUCGUUCAAAACUUCAUCGUUUUUUGCAGCCCGACGCCAUUUUUUUUUAUCAA